UGGCUGCCGGCAGGGUUUGGUGGGGCUUCUUUAAAAAAUUCUUUUGCAAGUUUUUUCAACAGUGGGCUGGAGGUUGGAUGCAUAGUUUAGUGCCGAGUGUGGGCUUGGGUGUGGUAUGCAGAGGCGAGUGGUGGGGGGAGGCCAUGUGGUGAGGCCAGAUAACAAGCUGGGGUGAUGACCUAGUUACCAGGCGCGGAGAAGGACGGAUGUGUCCGUUUGACUCCCGGUGAGGCAACUGGCCUUACAGUUAGGAGCUGAAAGUAGUGUCAUAGAGCCCAGUGUCCAUGGAGCCAUGGACACUACUAAGGAGGGAGGAGCUGAGAGACCCCUGGCUUAAGAGACAUUAUUCUGGCCCCCAGGUGCACAUCCAACGUUGAUCCUUGAAGGCUGCCUACUGCAAACGCCUUCCUGUGUUCUCUGCCUGAGGGUUUUCUCUGACUUGCUCCUUCACAGACGAAAGCUACUUGGCAGUGUGCUUGCUGCCUGUUUCUUACUGCCUUUGGAGGGAUUACCUGGGGCAGGUAAGCAAUUUCUCUUUAGAAAAACUGAGCAUCAAAAAUAAUAAGAGCGACCUGCAGGAUACUGAAUAACAUGACGGGGAAGGCGGCAGGGUCAUUUCUAUUAAAGUGAAGCAGGGCUGAUAUCCUGCAUGUCUGCAUUAAUGCCCAAAUUAUGCGAAAACAAUAAUCAGUGCUCUACGAAUGAUCAGCCUAAGGAUGAGGUAUGGUGCACAGGGGUUUUGAUAGGGCAUUAGGUGUGACUUCCGGACCAGUGGAUGAACAUUUUAAGAAAGUGUUCUUUACUCUGUGUUCAUUACAAACGGUAAUAACACUCCAGUUUCAUACGGCAGAUGUUAACUCUUGCGGUAAUACUGGUGCUCUCCAAGUCAAACAGUCAUGGCCGAAGAGCUUCUCCAGUGCUCGGUCUUUCCGGACUGCCGUGGUCUCCACCAGCUCUUUAUGACAUCCUGUGCCAAGGCCGAUUGUCCUCCUUGGUGCUCACAGACCUGCCUCACCUCCUGCCGUGCCCUAUGUCAUCUCUUAAGCCUCCCACCCGUGCCCCUUCCUGAAGUCACCUGCCUGCUCUGAGGUCCCUGUGGCUCUUUUGUCAGCUUUGCAGAUGAGGGCACAUCAGUGCCUCAAGAUCCUUCAAGCACAUGGGCUGUGACUUCGUGCUUCUGUUGUCUUCUCUGGUAAGCAAAGGUACUUUGCUGUGAAGAGAAAACCCCUUAGUAACCAACAUGGCUCUCAAUCACAUCCUGCACUUUCUCGUGUGUGUGUGUGUGUGUGUGUGUGUAUGUGUGUGUUUGGGGUGUGCGUGUGUGUGUGUGUCUAGUGUUUCUCAGCCACUGGCAUUUAAUCCACAGAGGGUCACCUGUGCUUCUGUGUCCAAAUAGGGUGCUGGAGACACCCUUAGGGUCAGUUGACAUGUCCCCAACAUAGGGACACAGGGGACAUGUCAAUUUCCUGACAAGUUGUGUUUCCCUGGGAAAAUCAGAAACGACGUAUUUUCCCGCAAUUGUUCCCUAUGUCAAGCAUUUAGGGGCCCCAAGAGAGACCCAUGUGGAAGUACUUCCUUUUCUUUCCCCGUUCAAUAAAUAACAUCCUAAGGCUGAGGACAGGGAGGUGUGGAGAGCAGAAUCCAAUAGCGGAAGCCACCCAGACUAGACAAACAGGAGAGGGCAAAUGAAAAUAAGCAGGUAAGGAGGAGGUUGGGAAUGGUCAGGAGGGCUCGGGGUGUGUGGCUGGGAGCUUGGACUGUGGGCAGCUGCUGAGCAGAGCACCAAGGCCAGGCACAUGUGUCUCUGAGGCGAACUGCAGCACAGCAGAGGUUCUGUCCUUGUGGGAGACAGGGCUCAACCUCCAGGACAAGGAGUGGACCCAGCAGAUAGCGUGUUUCCACUGAGUAUCAGAGAUGCUGCUGAGAGCUUGGCACCAACCGUUUCAUUCUGAGGGGUGCCCGGCCCUUCAGAUUCACCAUUACACUUUUGUAUCUGGAAGUAAAACAGGCUCAGAAAGGUUAAGUGCACCUCUGUCCCCAUGUCACUCCGACAAAACUGAGGUUGGAAUUCAUGUUUGAUUUCAGGUUUUUGCUCUUUCUAUUAUGCUGGUGCAUUCUUUGUGGUAUGUGGAUCGUGUGGAAAUACCGGAUGGGUCCCGCUUACAAUAGCUGAAUAUACAAUUCCACAUUAAAUCAGAUACCACCUUAUGUAGAUUCCAUUUAGCAAGUGUUCAAUAAUUUUUUUUUAAUUACAUGAGAGAAACAGAAAAACAUUGAGAAAAAUCUGUUAAUUUGAUUUUUCUGUAGCCCAAUAAAAAGGUCACCUCUAAAAGUGAAUAGCACAGGCCUCAUGUCCAGCUUGAGGGCUGCUAUGUUUUCAGGAAAUAGAGUCAGAGACCAUCCCCCGCCUGGACUCUGGCUCUCCACUGGAGAGCAAUGAGGAGGUGAGAGUCCCUGCCCCUGCCCUGCCUCCACCUCCCUCCCAUGUCACCUCUCAGGUCCAUCUGGCCUUGCUACAAAUGCCCACCAGAGAAGAAAGACAGUGAUUUUUGUUUUAGAUUUUAUCAUUUCAUUUUUACGUAAGUCACCCAAGCUUCUUGUUAAAAAUUUACGAAACACAGAUAAGCCAAAAAGUAUGCAGAAAUAAUUCAGUUGUAACAAUUCUUCUUUAUGACUCCACCAGCAAUAAAAAUUUGGACCUGUAAUCGUUCAGAGACUUUCUGUGCGUAUCCAGCCUCUAGAUCUUUUUCAGGCAUGGCUACCUUCUAUGUCAGUUAAUUCACAGCUCCAUUAUCGUUUCCCAAAGAUGUGUUCCCACAAUGUAUGCAGUAAAACAGCCCAACAUACGUUUAAAAAUGUGGAUUCCUACACUCUUCAUUCUACAGAAUCAGCGUCUUGCACCCCAGGGACACUGAGAGUCUGCUUUUAACAAACUUCCUGGUGAUUCUCACAUGCACAGUGCCCACAGUCCUCACCUUCUCCUGUCUGGGAGUAUUCCGACGCACUCCAGAGUUCAGAGCCCUACCAAUAGACAUUUAGGCAAUUCCUGAUGUUUUUCUCAGUGGUCCACCUACAUCAAUGCACAUGUAUCUUUAUGCACUGUUUUCUUUGAACAAACCCAUGUUAAUGGAGUUGUAGGAUUACAGACUCACCGGUAUAUUGACACUUCUUGUAUCUGUUGGCUGUUGCCCGCUGAAGCAGGGGUAGUGAUGUGCAGAACCGUAUUGCACCCCUAGCAGGCAACAGUGUUUCAAGCUCACGCAAAGGCCUGAAGUAUCAGGAGGAUGUGCUGAACGCUGAGGGCUGCUGAGAUGAGGGUGCCAGCAGCCCUCAGGGGCUGUAAGUGUGAAGCCCAGAGAAGAAGCCAACUUGAGCCAAGCCCCCCAUUCAUUAGACCUGGUCCUGCCCACUAACGCGGUCACCCCCAUGGCUCCUGCACCUGCCUUGCCCAGAGAGGUUCCCAGGCUAAUCACUCCCACAUUGUCGCCUCCAUGAAUAAAUCUCCCACAGGUAGACUUAUUUUUGUGGGGGGUUUGUGGGGGAAAGAAGAGCCGCCGCUAUUGGCAGCUCCGUGGUUGGCUGACACAUCAGACCUGGCAGGGGUGGAUUAACUUUCACACAUCCCACGUGGCAUCUCUUCAUUCAGCUGAUAAAGGUUAGAAGAUUCAUCUGUCAGCAACUAUGAUGGGUGCUGGAGCCGCAAUAGCAGGUGGGGCUCAGCCCCUGACCUUGAGUUCCUUGGACUUCAUUUGAGGAGACAAAAUUAUGGAACAAGUAGAAUGUCGCAUGAGUGGAAGUGUAGCCGGCUUAUUAUCCAGGGACACAGAGAAGGAGCUGAGACCUCCUGGAGGUCUCAGGAAAGAUGAGGACACUGAAACCAGAGACACAUUUUCCUGGGGAACGUUCUAGACUUCAAAAUGUUGGCAUUUUGGGGGCUGCCUCUCAGCGAGUUGACUACUGCUGACCUCUAAUGGCAAGCCAAGCCCAGUGCCCUCCGGGACUCCUCAGUAGGCUGGAGAACACCCACAGGAUAAUGCAAAUAGAAGCGUCCGUGCUCAGCACUCCUCAGUCCACCUGGUUAGCUACAGAGCAACAAUGUCAUCUGCAGGGUUUCUACACAGGACUCCAGCUCCUAAUGAAGAGGGGAAAAAUGGUAUCAUUUCUGCGUAGCCCAAGUCUCUGCACCUUCUGUAAAUUUCCGUGCUGUUUGAGUUCUCACUUUGGGGGCUGUAUGGAAUUAAUCAAGCUUUGGCCUCUGGUUUAACCACUGAUUUGUCUCUAUUCUUCUACAGUUUCCCACGGCAGUGGAGCUGUGCAUGGUCCCAGAUCAAGGGCUCUUUUCAGGUUGCCUGAAGUUCUUCAAGAGCAAGAAACAGUUUGGAAUUAAGGGUACCAAAUCUUGUGAGACAUUUUGUUUUGUGUUUUUUUAAAUGGAAAACAAAGGUGAGCAGACAAAUGCAUAACAUUUCAUCAGAAAAGGAAACCAAACCCUUGGUCAAAAAAGUGAAUCAGCAACAGUUAACUGAGAGGAGGUGUCUUAAAGAUAAUCCCAUUAUCCUCAAAGUAUCUCUGAGUUUGAGGCACCAGAUUUAUGGACUGCCAUCUCCUAUAUGAAAAGAUAAAGGGAGAAUAAAUCUAUGUUUACAUUCACAACUGGGCCAGAGGAUCCAGUUUUCAUUUGAUUUGAACAAGUAGAAAACGUUCAUCAGGAUUUAACCAAAAUAGUGCAUAUUGAUUUAAGUUAGUCAAUUAAAAAAUUGGCAAAAUGACAGAAUUGCUCCAUAAGUAGCCGUGCCACACACCUGAAUACACACAUCAUGUUCAACAAGCAAUUAUUUCACUUUACUCUCUGUGCCAGUGCAUGUUUGCUUUCAGAACGCUGCAGGUAUGAUAAGAAGCUUAAUGUUCUGCUUUCUAUGUAGCAUUUUUACUGAUGCCCAUGAAAUUCUGAACCAUAUGGUUUUAUAUUCUAUACUCUCUAUGUUUUAUUAUCCAAAAGUAUAUUUUUCUACUGUGUUCUAGCACACAGUCUACUGUAUAUGUAUGAAUGAAAUAAUGUCUUUUUCCACAGUGAUGCAAAGAACUUUUACUUUUUUUCACAAAAAGAGCAUGUCUGUGUUGCGAAAUCAAGCUUUUUGUGCAUAUCAAACUGUUUAUAGUUUGUACACAGCAAACUGUAAGUAGAUACAAUCCUUUUAAACUUGUGAGUUACUUAAAAAAAAAGAUCUUCUUAAUUAGAAAGAUCAAUCUAUUUUCACCUGUCAUUUGAAGUAAUAACCCGGUUGCAUGACUUUGGGACAGCACAUAUACUUGAGUAGGAGAACGUUAACUCCAAUAUUCAUGGAAACCUACAAAGGCAAAACUGUCCCUUUCUCAGUGCUAAGUGUGGGGCUCUGCUUUGUAAAAACAGCUGGAGAGAAUCACAGGAGGCUGUGUUUGUCCCUCCACAGCCAUAGCAUGCAUGGAACAUCUUGACUACAAGUGCUAGAGGAAUGUUUUAGAGUCAGACUCCAAAUUCUAGAUCUUCAACCACGUGAUUACAGUGGGGGCAGCCACAUUUAUAAAGUGAGACCCUCCUCCCCUCUGCGACCACACUGAUUGGGCCAGGCAAAAGCACCUGACCAAAGUUGAGCCAAUGAGCCUCUUGCAUUUGAAACUACCAAAAAUGGAGACUGAAAGAGCUUAGUUUUGAGUUGGAUGUAUUUGACUGUAGGGUAUGUAAUUUCGGAAGAAGAUGCCAGGAUCUUUUUCUCUUCAUCAGGUGGGAAAUUGAAGGCUCAUCUGCAAUGAUGAAGAAUGAGAAGCCCCCUGGAGGGAAGCAAGGCUGAGAGACAGAAGAGAGACUGUCCUAGGGUCCAAUUAGAGGGUAGGACUGUGGUUCAUUGAAGUGGGAGGACCAAGGGGUCCCCUGGUCCUCUGCUUCCAAGAGUCCCCAUAUACUGGUAACCAAAUCUCUCCUUCCCUUUAUUUCCAAAAUUCCCCCGAUGGGUUUUCUGCUAUUUGUAAUCAAAAUAUUCCUGACCACAAGUCACAAUACUAAAUAUUUUCGAAAUCCAAAGCAAUACAAGGAGAGUGUGAAUUUAAUUAUUAUCUUCAUUUUAAUUCAUGGAGAGUUAGAAAUGUUCAUUUGAGACAUAUCGGGAGUGGGCAGUGGCAAGCUUUAAGCUUACAUCCGCCUCUUUUGAAAACUUUCACCACGUUGAGGUGUGUAUGCUCUUGAAAAAGAGUGGCAAACCUAGGAAAACGGAUUCUCGGUUGAUAUAAAACUAAGUUCCAGAAAAACAAUCUAAAUAGGUACUUCAAAUUAAUAGAGGAAAAAACAUACAAACGAAAUCAGAUAUAAUUGCCAGAAAAUCCUGUCGCAGAUGAAGGUGUUUCUUGCUCUCCUGCUCCCCGAGCUCCUGAUGCUUUUGGUUGUCACCAUCAGGAAUGAAGACGGUAUCUCAUUAACCAGUGAGAUUUUCCUUGAACACUACCUCCUCCCCAAAUAAAAUAAAUUGGGCCUAAAAAAAUAAUUAUUAACAGCUGAUCUGAGGUUUCAGGGGGCAGAGAUUGUGAAAAUAAUGAAGUCAUGAGAGGAUUUCCCGUGAAGCGCAUCAGUGCGAGCGGUUCACACUGUCGUUCAUGGUUCGGCAUCACCCUGUGAGGUGUGUUUCAUUCCAAAGAUGAGGCUACCACAAAAAUAGUUUUGGAAUGAUCCAUCUGAAAUCGUUCAGCUUCAACAAUGCCUUUCCUCCGUAACAUGGGAAAGGUGAUUGUGUAGCGCGCAUCUCAACCCUCAUGGCAUUCCUAGGAUAUGGGGAUGUUUUCCCUUACUUUGCAGAUUAAAAAAAAAAAAGCCUGACUUGGAGAACUAAUUUGCUUCAAAUCACACAGCUAGUCAGGGGCAAAUAAAAGGUUCAAUUCUU